CCCAUAGCGCGUUUUCCUUUCUCCCACAGAGAUAGAACAGAAACCAAUCUUCAAAAUGCAAACAUUCCCAGCCCCGUGCUUUUGUGCAGGCAUCUCGCUGUAUGCGCUGGGCACGGAGCGGCGCGCGCGCGCUCGCCUUUCCCUCGGCGGCCCCCCGCGGCUCGGACCCGGGACUGCAGACAGGCCAUCCAUCAUUCGCCCUCCUCCCGCGAGCUUGGCUGCCGCGGCCAAUCCGGCGGCAGGUGGGGCCGCACCUGCAGGACAGCCCGCCACUUCCCUCCGCUCUCUCCGCCGCGCCCGGCGUGUUAGCGAUGCCCUUGUGAGCCACUGCAUUCUCCAAGGCCAGAACGAGACAGAUAAGACUCUGGGAAUUUAUAGAAACAAACAUCAGAAGACUGAAAUGUGGAGAGAAGAAGGCUGCCUGACUAGGGAAUCUCAGGAAACAAGGAAAACAUCAAGAAUAUAGGCCCCGCUCUGCCUGAUGGUCACAGGAGCAGGAUAAGCCAACUUGCACCGUGAAGCUGAGUCACCUUGGCUGACUGAGCAAUAAUGCUGGAGAUGGGACCUGGUAGGAGGUGUCUGGAUCAUGGAGGGGGAUCCCUUGUGGCUUCGUGCUGUCUGCGUGAGUUCUUGCAAGACCUGGCCAUUUAAAAAGUGGUCAUCUAUGGAUUGCAGAGAGAGCAUCUACAUUUGUUGGGAAGUUAGGCUCCAUUUCUUCUGAGGACCCACUCAAGCUGUAGUUGGACACUUCUGAAAAUUAUCAAGACAAGGCUUGGAGCAGGCCAGCCUCUGAGUGGCUGCUCUCUUGCAGGAAAGCCUAAGCCUGAGAAUGGAAAUAUUUACAACAUGGGGGAAGAAAACCUGGCUUCCUUGCUCCAUCACAGAAACACAUCUUAACACAUCCGAGGUCAUGAGCUAAUAAGGAAAAGGAAUUAACUACAGCCUCUCCUGCCACAUGUCAAAGUUGAUUCUACUCUAGAUGAGUCUUAAUUAUGCCAGUGAAGUAUAAAGUUUAAUAGAAAGAAUGUGUUCCUGAAACUGUAACUUUCAUUGUAAUGACUAGGAAAGAUUUAAAGUAAACUGUGCUUUACAUGUGAUGAGCUUAAUUUGAAGCUACAGAAUUAAUUUUUGAUGCAAAAAACUCUAUAUCUCUCUUAAAACAGUGGCUGCCUUAUUGUCAUUUCCUGUAUAUGAAAUAUCUCACCCUAGGGAGAAUCCACAUCUAGAAAAUAUUUACCCUCUCAUUUUCUGAACCUGAGAUCUUUUUAUACUACAUUUUUAACUCAAAUUUAUUCUCUUUGCAGAGGAUAUAAAGCCUUUCUUUCUUUCUCUUUCUUUCUUUCCUUUCUCUCUCUCUCCCUUUCUUCCCUCCCUUCCCUUGCCUUCCCUUCCCUUGCCUCCCCUUCCCUCCCCUCCCCUCCCCUUCUCUCUCCUCCUCUCCUCCCUUUCCUUCCCCUCCCUCCCUUCCCCUCCUCUUCCCUCCUCUUCUUUUUUUCUUCCCUUCCCUUUCCUUUCUUCCUUCCAUGAUGACUCAAGAAAUUAAGAACAUGUUCAAGGUCACAUCACUUAUAAGUGACUGAACUGGGACUCAAACCAAGUUCUUUCUUACACUAACACUAGACAAUCUUCCUAAAUACUACAUCUCAUCCUAUAAGGGCAAUCAAAAUCAGAUCUCAUUCAUUUUACUAGUGAAUUAUAUUAUUUUCAUGGAGCUACAUAUAUGAAUAAUAUAGAUAAUUGCUUAUGUUAAUAAGUAAUUGCUUAUGCUAAGUAACAAUGUUAAUAACAAAUUUGAUCUAAAUAUUAGUCUUCAUAUUUGGGCAUGACUGCCUACAUAAAUUAUUUGUUUUGUGGGUUACCAGAUUAACAGUAUGUUAGCCAAUCUCUCUGUUUUUAAUUCUCAUCAUUAAGUUUUUUGGGUUAAAAUUUUUAUUUAGGAGAACUCUGCUAAACUACAAAACUAUAGGAUUUAACAGGCAAUUAUGCUAUUGUCACAUAAUGAUAUAUGCACUUCAGUUUUUCAGAUUAGAUGAUUGUUAUCUUGAAGGGAGGAAAAGAAGAGAGAAUUGGAAACAAUUCUCAAAAAUAAGGAGUUACGGUAAAAAUUCAGAGGUUAUAAUGUUAGCCAAGAGGGCUGGGGAUGUCUUAGAAAAUAGUCACUAGGUACCUAAAAGAAGAUGGUUGAAAAGGACAAAGCAUUAAAAGAACUGGUAGAACAGUUACUGAAUUCAGAUUUCACUUUUGAAGACUCUGUACUAGCAAACAACCAAAAAUGAGCUUUUCGAGUUUCGAGUAGAGUGGGUUUCACUGUGUGGUCUUCAGCAAGUCAUAACUUCCCCAAAUGUUUAUUUCCCCAUGGGGCUAUUAAUAACAACAUUCAGAUAUCAAGGGGUUGUUGAAAAAUUCAAAUAAAGCAAUGUGUGAAGUAAUAUUCUACAGCUGAUACUGUAAACACCAUUCAGUAAUAUUUUAAUAUGGCCGGGAGUGGUGACUCAUGCCUAUAAUCCCAGCACUUUGGGAGGCCAAGGUGGGUGGAUGACGAGGUCAGGAGUUCGAGAUCAACCUGGCCAAUAUGGUGAAACGCCAUCUCUACUAAAACUAUAAAAAUUAGCCGGGUGUGGUGGCAUGGACUAUAGUCCCAGCUGCUCUGCAGGCUGAGGCAGCAGUUUUGCUUGAACCCCCAGCAGGCAGAGGUUGCAGUGAGCCUAUAUUGUACCACUGCACUCCAGUUUGGGUGAUGGAGCAAGACUCUGUCUCAAAAUGUGUGUGUGUGUGUGUGUGUGUGUGUGUGUGUGUAUUAGUGAAAUCUGCAUCUAUGAAAUGAAACAAAAGGAUGAAUAAAGAAAAUUCGUGCAGGUUAAUAGUCACUAAUUAGAGCUUUUUAAAAAAUCAAAUUCCAUUAGUUUAUCUUCUGAACUCUACAUUCUGAUGAAGGGAGAAGCAAAGCCUCUUUUAUAUUUAAAUUCUCAUGACAUAUUUUGUGUCAGAUUGAUUAUAAACUUGCAACUGACUCGUCAAAUUUUGAGCUGGAGGGAGGCCCUUCCAUAUACCUGCAAUUCCCAUUGGAUAACUGAAAGUGUUUCUCCUUUCUCUUUGAUAUGAUAAAUUCCUGAAAGCCAUUAGUGAUUUAGGGACCUUUCUGAAGAAACUCUCUCCUUGAAUAGGAAAGCAGCAUUAAUGUUUUUAAACAGUCACUGGCUGCUUACAGCUAAGGAGCAGCAUCAGCAACAGCAAGAAAAUUAUUCUAAGUAAGACGGAAUCAACUAAGAAUUUCCAAACUUUAUUUUAUUUUUUUUUUUUCAGGAAACCAGAUGGGAACUGAUCAUUGACAUUUUCCAAAUGAGGCAUCAGUAGGGGCAAGCAAGUGGGGAUAAAGAUUCCAGACCUGCCUAAAUUCAACCUAACAUCAACUUUAGCAGCAGAUACGGGGCAGUUAAAAGUCCAGGCAGCCAUUACUUUAUCUUUACAGUAUACCUAUUCCUUUAAGGGACUUUGCUUUUGUUAUUUUUAACUUGAAGAAAAAAAAAACAGUUAGUGUUUUUCUUUUCAAAUAAUUAAAGGGAAAGGAAGUCUAAAGAGAGGCUGAGUGACAUCCAAUAUUCCCAAAUACUCUCUUGUUGCUUUAGGUGACUGGUACACUUAAUUAAGGAGGGUCCUGGGUCUAUCAUCGACCAGGGCCUGACCUGUGAGUGGGAGGGAUUGAGCUGUAACCUGACCGAGCCCAGGUGUGUGCCUGCAGGUCAUACACUGGGAAAACAUGUGGCCUCAGUAAGCCCUUCCCAAGCCUGACCAUGCCUUUAACUAUUUCGAGUCUUUCUCAAGUGUUCACAAUGUCACAUUCUUAGACUUUGUCAGCAUGCUUUCCUCUACAUUAACAAUUUCAAGUUGGAAAAGGAAAUGCAUAAGGUGAAGAGACUUGUUUCAGGUGAUAGAGUCUAAGAAGGUGGAGAAUACAACCCAACUCUUAUGGCUUCUAGUCACUGCUCAGUUCAGACAGCACAGUCUCAUCUAGCAGGCCAAUUCUCACUCAUUCACUAACACCAGUCACUGAAAAGUUUUCCUCCCCUACAACAGCAUCUAUUUGCUUUAUCUCUCCUUCUUUCCUUUCUUCCUUCCUUCCUUUCUUCCUCUCCUUCCCUUUUUCACUCUCCCCCUCUCUCCUUCCUCUUUCUCCUUUUUUCUCGCUCCCUCUCUUCCUUUGUGUUUUCUUCCUUUCCCCCCUCUCUCUUUCUUUCCCUCCUUUCCUCUCUUUCCCUUUAUUUUCUUUCAUUCUUAUCAUAGGCAAAGUAAACUUUGCCGUCACCAUGUUUCAGGAAACUCAGUUCUUGUGUAUCCGGCCCAUGGUGAUGAGGAAAACACAACGGGCAAUGAUUUUUGUUCUCUCUAAAUUUCCCUGUUCUAUAAGAAUUAUUUGCUGACAGAAGAACUGUAUAUGGGAGUGGCUCCAAAACCCUGUAUACACACAGCAUUAGUGGGAAAAUAAAAUGUCUUCCCUGUGGACAAUUCUAUUAUCAAUUAUCUAUGAGUGACAAGACAUAGUAUUUAUAGGACAAAAAACAUGAAAAAUAAAUUAUCUUACCUGACAUCAACAGAGAAUGCAUCAUUUUUACAUAAAGAAUUAUCUGUAUUCUGAACGUCUGAGUGAUUUGCAUUUCAACUUUUUAUCUGUAAUUCUGUUUAUAGAAAAUAUUCUAAAACUAGUUAACACAUUUCCCUUAGUUUUUAAAUAAAAUAAAAUGACCUUAUGUUGGAGAACAUUUUCAUAAAGAAUAUUAAUAAUCUAAUUCUUCUCCAACUAGUACCUUAAAACCAAGGUCAAUACUGGUUGACAUCCUUUCAAAAUAUCAUGUGAAUACCCUUAGCAGCCAUUAAGGAACAGAUCCCUGUUUAGCUGAAGCCCACUUGAACUCCAGGGGUGGCCUGCUAACACACUCAGGCCCGAUACUCUAGUUUCUCUUUGCUGAACAGCAUAUAGGAUAGAACAUAUGCAUUUGGGUCACAAGGCCCUGACUGAAAAUUCACUUACUAUGUGUGAAAUUAAGGCAAGUUAAGUAACCUGUAAGAGCUUCGACUCACACGUACAGUGAGAAUAAAAAUGACUACUCAACAGAUUGUUGACAAUAGAUAAUGCACUAACAAAGUACACUAUUCACGUUAGUAUCUCUAACUGGUAAAUGCUCAAUGAGCAUUCACUCCUGUGCUCUUCUACUCUCUGAUGUCAGAUGCUGCUCACUUACAGGAGAGUGUCUACUGUCAUUAACUCUGUAUUGCAUUCUACUGUUCUCCUUUACACUGCUUUUUCUCUUUUCUUCUUCUCCUGUUUAUUUUUGUUUCCUUUUGCACCCAAAUAACUUUUUUCUAUAAGAAGUAGUAACAACUAGAAUGUUCUAAGCCUUCUGAUCAGUGAACUGGUUCAUUGGUGUCCUGGCUUCUCAUCAGUUCUUUUUAUGUUCAGAUCCCCACUGACUUCUCAAAGUUGACUUCCAAAUGGUCCAAAGGAUCCAUUUGGACCAUUGGGAAUUGUUUUGCUAUAGCUUUACUCAAAACCCCCAGGACUCCCAUACACACCUAUACAUUUGGUUACUGUAAACCUUAGAUCUUUUCCAGAUUCCUGUGGUGGUACCCAGACAGCUAAGUUUUGUCUGUACUCCCAUUAUAUCUUGGAAGUAACUAACUUGUUUCUGAUUUUACAGUCUCAUAGGUGGAAGGGAUUUGUCUUGCCUCAGAUCAGACUCUGGACUUGGACUUUUGAGUCGUUAAUGGAAUGAGUUAAGACUUUGGAGUGACCAUUGGAAAAGCAUGACUGUGUUUGAAAAUGUGAGAAGGACUUGAGAUUUGGGAGGGGCUGAGGCAGAAUUAUAUGGUUUGGCUCUGUGUCCCCAGCCAAAUCUCAUAUAAAACUGUAAUUUUCCAUAUUGCAGGAGGGGCCUGGUAGGAGGUGAUUGAGUUCAGGGGGCAGACUUCCCCCUUGCUGUUCUUGUGAUAGAGUUUUCAGAUCUUGCUUGAAAGUGUGUAGCAUUUCCCCCUUCUCUCUCUUGCCCACCAUGUGAAGAUGUGCUUGCUUCCCCUUUGCCUUCCGCCAUGGUUGUAAGUUUCCUGAGGUCUUCACAGAAGCAGAAGCCUGAAUGGCCUGCAGAACUGUGAGCUGAUUAAACCUCUUUUUAAAAUAAAUUACAGUCUCAGGUAUUUCCUUACAGCAGUGUGAAAAUGGACUAAUACAGGAUUGGAGGAAAGUUAGAGAAUAGGCUCAGUGAAAAUAUUGCAUAGCCAUCUUUGCCUUUGAAACUAGAAAUGAAAAUUAAGAGAGAUAAUUAACUUAUUGAUCCUAGGGUUGGAAAACUAUAGUCCAUAAGCCAAAUCAGACCGUAUUCAUCCAAUUACAUAUUGUCUUCUAGCUGCUGCACUACAAUGGGAAAGGAGUGAUUUCUACAAAGACCACAUAGCUGAAAAUGUAAAAAACUGGCCUUUUACAAGAAAAGGUUUACCAACACCUGGAUUAAAAUGCAUUCUAUACAUUUAUAGAGGAGAUCUGAAACAUUUUGGAAAAAUAUUAUUUAGUAUCCACUCCUAUUUUGAGAUUCCAAAAAGCAUGGCAUUUCGAAGAUAUGGUUAUAAGCUUUAUUUCUACUACUGGAAAGUCUGUGAAACCCAAGCAGUUUUUUAAAUUCUCUGAAUUUCAAUUUCCUCUGUAUAAACCAAGCAUAUCGAUAACACCAAAUUCUCAUAUAUAAUAAAGGCUAACUGCCCUGAUAUAUUUGUAUACAAUCUAUAAAGUCUGAACUAUCUUAGUUUUAAUAAGGAACACUCAAGAGUAACCCCACAACUCCCCAAAUACAUUAUAUCUUCAGAGAAACAAUCACUUCUAUUCAUUUUUGUUAAAAUUCUAAAGACUCUUGCCUCCAAAUACCAACUAACAUGCUAUUUCUAUUUUUUCACUUAGCAACUUGAAAUUUAUCUACUGAAUUCCUGUUAUAACAGGUAAGGAAUUCAUUUGUGAUCUACUUGUAGUUUAUCUUUCUAUAGUUCUAUUUAACAAAACUGAAGAUUCGCAUGUUAGUUUUCUACUUUUACCUCUUUUUUCUCCUAUCUACCUUUCAACUUCUGUCAGCUCUACUUUUACUUUAUGAAGAUCAAUAACAUGAUUCUGUUGUAUCUAAAGUCAUUGCAUAUCCUGUAAUUUUUCCAAGUGAAGAGUGUUUUUCAUAGAGUAAUUGACUAACCUUAAUAAAUGUUUAUGAUAUAUUAUAAAAGAGUCAACUGGCUACUUGUUAUAUUUAAAUUAGUAAGUACUGUAAAAUGUAGGGACAUAUAUAAUAUGUACAUACUAUUAAAGAUAUUUUCUUACUUG